UUUAUUAAAACAAAACCAAUCGGCUUCGGUCGUUUCUUGUGUGACUCUGAAUAACUUUGCUGAUCGUACAGUCUUUGCACUGACCACACCUCUUUCGUGUGUCUGCCUUAUCCUUUUUCCACGGGAGUUUCUGUGCCCACCGUGGUUGUCACGGGACACGGAAUAUAGGGGCACCACCCCAGAGAGGCCCCCUGAAAAACGGCCCCCACAUCCAGGGAGGGCAGCGGGCGCACAUAUUCCCCUCUCUCAGCAAGAAGAGGGAGAGACAAAAAAAAACGAGUCGGCUCUCUAUGAGGCCAUAUAUCAAAGUGGGCACUUUUUACACCCUUUCACGAACACCUAUGAGAGGGCGAGUGGGGUGCCCGCCCCCGCGGAUAUUCCCUCUCUCAGGGUGUAUAUCCCCAGUGCUGCGGAUAAAGAGCUCGUUGGGAGAUCUGCCCCCGUACACUCGCCCCCCACAAGUUGUGUGCACUGCUCCCCGGGCAUAUCUGCCGGUUCUCGUGCAGCGCUCAUCACGGGGUGCUGUGCGUGUGUGGAGAGUACACUUUGGAGAAAAUAGAGCGCUAAAACGCGCGU
rnacentral:rRNA from 1 species